GUGUGUGCUUUUUAGGGCCACACCUGUGGCACCUGGAGGUUCUGAGGGGGUUGAGCCAGAGGUACAGCCACUGGCCUACCCCACAGCCACAGCAACGAGAGAUCCGAGCCACAUCUGCGACCUACACCACAGCUCAUGGCAAUGCAGAAUCCCCGAGCCACCGAGCAAGGCCAGGGAUCAAACUUGCAUCCUCAUGGAUACUAGUCAGAUUUGUUUCUGCCACUCAUGGACUUUUCUAAAGUGAAACGAUCCAUGAGGACUUAUCAAGAAAAGGACAGCAGUGUACCUGUUAACCACAAACUCUCUGCCAACGCAAGCAGGAAUGAAAAAGAACCAACAGCAAGAAAAAGUCCUUUAAGUAAGCUGUAGCUAGGAAAGGCCCCAACACUAUACUCUGUGAACAAUGCAGGCUUUAUAAUUCCGUCUGGAACAAACUGAGAGUCCCAUGACCUGAUAUCAGUUUCUAACACAUGACCACAGUGCAGGGCCACAGGUCGUAAGUGGAGGCAAUUCUGAACAUUCCCACCAGUGUGAGUCCUGGGGACAGGGACAAGCUGCUGGAAGAAGAAGCAGCACUUCCCCUUGGGGCCCACUGGCCCAUCAUUGAUUAAGGAAGGACAUGGUGUUGCAAGAGACACUGCCCUGGAAGUUCCCAUCGUGGCGAGCAGAAAUGAAUCCAACUAGGAGCCGUGAGGUUUCGGGUUUGAUCCCUGGCCUCCCUCAGUGAGCUAAGGAUCCCAAUAAAAAGGGAGCAUUGAGAAUUGUUUUUUUUACUUCCUUUAAAAUCAAUUUAAAUAUUAACUUUAUUCCAAGCUACUGUGGUAUUUCAAGAUAAAUACUUCUGCUCUGGUCUUAAUCUUAAAGGCCCAGCUGCAAUUUUAGGUCUGGAGUCAUGGACAGAUUAUACCUAUUUUCCCUAAUUAACCUCCAUCUAUUUGGGUUGUCUGAGGCUCUUUCUAGAAGUGAUGGGGGAAGGUACAUUACCGUGAAAAAAGAAGUAUAAAAAGACAGAGGUGCUGGAAGAAUAAAUGCGAUGCUUUAAAAUAUAUAUAAUUUGGAAAAGUAAAGGCCUGACUCUCCUAAGAACCAAAAGAAUCCUGUCAAAUCCCAGGAAUGAGAACUGAACUUGCAGGCAAAAUACUUGGCCCCAUCAUUUAAGUUACGUAUCUUUCUGGGAGUUCCCAUCGUGGCUCAGUGGUAACAAACCCGACUAGGAUCCAUGAGGAUGCAGGUUGAAUCCCUGGCCUUACUCAGUGGGUUAAGGAUCUGGCAUUGCCAGGAGCUGUGGUACAUAGCUCGGAUCCUGCAUUGCUAUGGCUAUGGUGCAGGCCAGCAGUUGCAGCUCUGAUUCGACCCCUAGCCUGGGACUUUCCAUAUGCUGUGGGCGCGGCCCUAAAAAAAAAAGGAAAAAUAAAGUUAUGUAUCUGUCUGAACCCAUCUCUCCAUUCUAAAAUAGGGAAAUGACAACCCCUAAACUUCCCAUCACACAGAACAACCAUAAGGAUGGAAUGAAAGAACAAAUAUAAAUGAAAACUAUGGUGGAGAUUUUAAAAAAAGAAAUCCACCAGGGAACAAUCUGCCCCAUAUCUGGACAACCUCCCAGUUUGGUUCCCUAUUCUAGAAGGGAGCUCAAGACCAGAUCUUAGACUCACCUCUUCACACUGUCCCCAAGACAGUUAAUUAGGAAAAGGUCCAUCCUCCACCACCACCUGAGGCUCUAGCUUUAUUUCGUAGCACUCAAAACCCAACUUCAAAUGCUGCCUGAUCAGUCCUUCAACAGAGGUACCCUGCCUGCUCCUAGGGAGACCCACUAUUGGUCUCCAAAGAUGCUCUCCCUGCCUUAACCAGGAAUCCACUUGGAAAAGAAAAAGAACAGCAUUGAGGUCAAGCUACUGGGCAACUUCACAGAACUUAAAGCUGCCUUCAUGUGCAUAAGAAAACAAACAGAAAAGAAAUGCAGGAAAAUGGUGCAUCCUUUUUGCAAAUGCUCAGCACCUGCUUCUGUUAAGUACUAACAGUUCAAAGUUUAAAAAAAAAAAUUGAAAGGAGUUCCCUCUGUGGUGUAGUGGGUUAAGAACCCAUCUGCAGCAGCUCAGGUCAAUAUGGAGCUGCGGAUCCAAUUCCCAGCCCGGCGCUGGCAUUGCAGCAUUUGUGGCAUAGGUGACAACUAUGGC
rnacentral:lncRNA from 1 species